rnacentral:lncRNA from 1 species
UCAUCCACCUGGUCCUGGUAAUUGUAAAUCUCACCUCUUUUUAGUUAUACUUCUCCGGUCUUUCUUUUGUUGUGUCUUUGCUCUUUUCAAAUUUCAAGUUUAAAUUACCUUUUCAGUUAAGUCAACCGUAGAAUUUUUUUGGCAUUAGGGAGGCAUAGCUGCUAUCUCGCUAUCUGCAAACGUAUUCAACAAGACAUAAUGUUCUUGAAAAUUCUACUAUUGGCACCCCCAACGCAGCCCACAUCAUCUUGGUACAGAGACGGUUUUCCCUUUUCCAAAACAGGCUGCACUUAUCAUCUGAGAACCUUCGGAGCUCUUUGAGAAAGGUUUCCUCUUUUAUUAACUUAAUGUUGCCAAUGUGUUCCCUCUGCCAAUGUGUACAAACCGAGUCUGUCUUUGAACAUCUUUUGUAUUUUGUUUGCCAGCUGCAAGUCACCAAGUUCGACCAACUCAACCCCACGACAAGUUAAACAAAGGAAAAAGUAUGCAAUCCUUCGCCCAUUUCUCAAAAAGUAAGCCCGCUCUUUCCAUUAUGUUUUCGUAUGGCCUAUUUAUCGUCGCAUUGUUGUAUAUUUUGCAUUAUUACUAAUUUAACAUUGCCAAUCUAUUUUCUCUAACAACGUGUAUAACACUUAACUUAUCUAACUUUGCCUACUUACAUUUUAACUUCAACCUUUAAACAUGUUAUGUAUUUUGAUUACUAGCUGCCAGCCGCGAUGUCAGACUCAAUUCCUGCGCAAUUUAGAUAAAGGAAAGCAAGUAUGCAGCCUAUUCACUAUCUUUGAAACAGGUAAUCCAGCUCUUUGCCUUAUAUUUUUCAGUAUGGCAUAUUGAUCAUCACUUUAUUGUAAAUUGUGAUUGUUUGCACAUAAGGGUGCAUGUUGGAUGUGUCUACUCAGCAUUAUGCGGCCUUAAAUACAGUUCCAAUCGAAAGGUUUGUGCUAAAUUGAUACUCCAAUAAUAUCUACUUCACCUAUUACUGAACAGCGAAGCGAGUAAUAUGAUUCUAAAAAAAGUUCCUAACUGUUCAUAUUGUGGCACACAAAAAUUUGAAUACAAAAGAAGAAUCUAAACAUUUUCGAACAUAGAUUAGAACAUACAAUAAUAUGUUGAACACAUUGCUUGGUGUGAAGUACGAUAAAAAAAAUUGUGAAAAGAAAUUGUGGUAUGUACAGAUUUAGAGAACAAGGACAUAUGUAUCAUUUCAUAGAUGAUUUAGUCGCUUCCAACGAAAAACCCAACAACUUACAAUUAUACUUUUCUGAUCAUGAGAAUGAAUUGGCUAGCAGAAUGGCCAAAAAACCCCAAACUAUUAGAGGCAAGGCUAAUGACAAAAAGGGUCUAAGAAGUCAUGGUACUUACUCCCUCUGUUUCAUCUUCGAUUUACUUAAACUAAUACUCAUUAUUAUAUAAUUAAAGUUUAAAGUUACAAUUUAUGAGUGCAGUAAUUUUAAUAGCAUCAAUUGUUGAGAUUUUUACUGGUAAAACAAAAUACAUACUAAAAUACUUUAGCAGUACAAAAAGAAAUAUCUAUUCAUAAUAUCUUGAGAUUGUUUCCUAUUAAGCUAUUCAAAGAAGGAAACAGUGUGAUUGACUUGUCUUUUUGUUUACCUAUUUUGAUUAAAAUAAAGAUAUUCUCCUUCACUCCACAUUAUCAUUUUACUUAACAAAAGAAACAAUAACUUGUGUACCGAAAGAGGUACCAUUUUCUCAUGAAUUUAUCUUGAGUUGAGAUUCUUUGGUCAAUUUUAUCCAAUUUUGCUAACAGCAGUCCAUUUUCAAUCUUAAAUUGGUUAAAAUACAGCAACGGAAUUGGGUAUUUAUUUAAGGUGACAAUGUAUAUUAUUUAUUAAACUCUUAUGUUUUAUUGUGCUUUCUAUUCUGGCUUUGAAAUUUGGGGCUAAGAAAAAGGUUGGGAUGUUCAUUGUUCAAGUAAUUUGAGAUAUUAGACGAUGCUAUUGAUGUAAUGAAAUUGGAAGAUGCUGUAAUUCAAAACAUGGUAAAGUCUCUGAUUUGUGUUCACAAGUUGCAAUCCUUGAUUGUUUUUCAUUGUAUUGGGUUAUUUUUCAUAAUAUUGGCAAUUUUGACAAAUGUACAAUGAUUUUAACUCCACUAUGUACAUACUUGGUCACCCAUGGAAGAAGUGUGAAAAGAUAAUUCAGCAAUUAUUUGGAAACCUUUCCUCAUGUUGGGAACCAAAAUGAGGUACAAGAAGCAAUGUAAAGUGUACUUCAAACAGAACUUGAGUUGUACGAGUAGGGUUAAAAUAGGAAAUUCACUUUAUUCACUCUCUCACCUCUGCUUCUACUCUUUCUUCUCUGGCUGACAACAUUGACAGCCAUUUUAAACCUUCAACGGAGUUAAACUUUGCUUCAGAGUCUCACUCCAACUUCUCAAGUUCGUUCAAUUGUUUACCUGGUAAGUAUUCUUGUGUGGUAUUGACCCUCUUCCCUUGUGAAUUUUAACUCUUUUUUUCCCAUUAUUGUGUUUAUGCUUCCUAUUAUUUUACUGAUUUUUCUUAUUUAUAGGUCUUCCACAAUUUUUCUCGGAUUCUUUUGAGUUCAGAUAGAUGCCUCUUGAAAUACAUGCAUAAUUUGUUUUCAAUAUUUUGCAGUUUCUAGCUCUAAAAUACUAAAAAAUAUUAGUAGUAUUUUCUUAUCAAUAUAUGAUACUUUUUGUAGAUAAUUAAUGGCUUGAUGCGGUAGCAUGUUUGCCGGAAUUUCCUGUGAAGGUAAGACUUGUGUGUUAUGAAGAGAGAUUAGUUACAAGAGUUGAUUGUUUUGGCAGAUGAUUGAAGGUGCUAAUGAAGUUGAACGGUGGGCUUAGGUGAAUAGACAUUUUCCCUUGUAAUAUCUUUUUUUCAUAUGGUAUUUUCCCCAAAAAAUAUUGAGUAAGAAUUUGAGUUGCCGAAUUCUUUGAUGCUGCCAUGAAAUUAGAAGUGAUAACGUAAUGCUGAAAAUUCUGGGUAAGCUUUCAGUAUUGAUCUUUUUGUUGUUUGAACUACAUUUUUGAAAAAAUUCAACUACUAAUAUAGUAA